ACGAGUGUUUUUAUUAUCAGCUGUGUAGUGCAAGGGCAAAAAAAACAAACGUGCACGGGCAGGACUGAGUUUGGGUUUGAGUGUGUUCACCCAUGGCUGUCACCAUGGGGAUGGGUUUGAGUGUGUUCACCCAUGACUGAACCAUGGGGAUGGUUUUGGUGUGUUCACCCAUGACUGUCACCAUGGGAUGGGUUCGAUGUGUUCACCCAGACUGUCACCUGAUGGGUUCGAGUGUGUUCACCCAUGACUGUAACCAUGGGGAUGGUUUUGAGUGUGUUCACCCAUGACUGUAACCAUGGGGAUGGUUUUGAGUGUGUUCCCAUGACUGAACCAUGGGGAUGGUUUGAGUGUGUUCACCAUGACUGUCACCAUGGGGAUGGGUUUGAGUGUGUUCGCCCAUGGCUGUCACCAUGGGGAUGGGUUUGAGUGUGUUCACCCAUGACUGUCACCAUGGGUUUGAGUGUGUUCACUCAUGGCUGUCACCAUGGGGAUGGGUUUGAGUAUGUUCACUCAUGGCUAUCACCAUGGGGAUGGGUUUGAGUGUGUUCACUCAUGGGGAUGGUUUUGAGUGUGUUCACCCAUGACUGUCACCAUGGGGAUGGGUUUGAGUGUGUGCCAUCAUGUGGCCUGGUCUGUCCCCCUGGAUGUCCCACUAGUGAUGAAGAAUGGCUAUCCCAAUGACCCAUCAAGUUAUUUAUUGUAGGCUACAAAAAGUUAGAUUUGUGUCAAUAAAGAUUGAAAUCCAUCACCGUGGUUGCUGACUUAAGUUCAUGGGCUGUGUUUACUAAUGCUGCCCAAUUUUUAUCUUUUGCAGAGCUGAUCUCAUUGGUCAAAAACAAAAUCAGAUUUGUACUGUGUGUGUAAAUGCAGCCGUAGUAGCACGUUAUGAAAACCUACCUAAGAUAAACACAAUGACUGGGUGGUACCAGAUUAUUAUUCUGCCGAUUUAUUGAACACAUUUGUAGGCUUCAUAAAUUUAAAAAAACAUUCGCAUAAUUUCCAAUAAGUACAUUAGACCUUUCUUUUUUCCUCUGGUAAGUGAACUUUUGAAAGGCACUCAGAGCCACAACAUUCCACUUCUCCCAAUCAUCUUCAACUAUUUUUUUCACACAGGGAAAACUACCUGGUUUCAAUGUAUUUCCAGAUGGUUGUUUUCAAGUACUCUGGAUAAACUACAAAAAUCGAUUCUUAAUUCUCAACCCCAAUUAAGUAACAAUUAGAUGGGACGGCAGGUCGUCUAGUGGUUAGAGUGUUGGGCCAGUAACCGAAAGGUUGCUGGAUCUAAUCCCCGAGCUGACAAGGUAAAAAUAUGUUGUUCUGCCCCUGAACAAGGCAGUUAACCCACUGUUCCUAGGCCAUCAUUGUAAAUAAGAAUUUGUUCUUAACUGACUUUCCCAGUUUAAAAAAAAAAGUACAUCAAUUAGGUAUUUAAUAUCAAUAAUUUAGAAUACAGCAUAUUUAAUAUACAAAAGUUAGAUUUCAUAUCAUGGUCACAUACAUUGGCACAGUGGGAAGAAAAGCAAAUGAACAAUCUGACAAACAGAAGCGAAGAGCCCAAUUCUCUCCUUCCUCCAAUACGUAGUCGAAAGGAAUAGGAAGAGGACUAGUAUAGAACUAUGGUGGGGGGAAACUCCCCACGAGCCCAUGCCAAAUGCCAAUCUGCGAAGGAGGUGAACAAGGGCACACUUUGGGAGAGAAAGGGAGAUAUUCUGAGACAGCCCCAUAGAGAGAACGUUCACCCA
ensembl:lncRNA